AUCUUCGCCACGACUGGUUCCAUCCACCGAAAUACUAGGACGGACACUCGGAGGAGGAACAGGUAAGACUGUAAUAAUCAUCCAGUCAGGUCUAGCAUACUGCUCAUUAAGACCUAAGUGAGCUAAAUCUUCUGAAGAAAUAUGUGUGAAUAUUGUGUGCACCUCCAACGGCGACAGAAGGCGUUUUUCUGGUAAAUCUGAUUCAUCUUUACCGCGUUUCCAAGAACCCCAUAAUCUCAGGCCAUCUUUACGUAUUGUAGGUUGGGCAGCCCCACAACCACCGUGUCCCAUAUU